rnacentral:rRNA from 1 species
GACGAACGCUGGCGGCGUGCUUAACACAUGCAAGUCGAACGGUGAAGGAGAGCUUGCUCUCCGGAUCAGUGGCGAACGGGUGAGUAACACGUGGGCAACCUGCCCCAGACUUCGGGAUAACGCUUCGAAAGAGGUGCUAAUACCGGAUACGAACUCCUUGGGCAUCCUUGGAGUUGGAAAGUUUUUCGGUCUGGGAAGGGCCCGCGGCCUAUCAGCUUGUUGGUGAGGUAACGGUUCACAAAGGCGACGACGGGUAGGCGGCCUGGGAGGGCGCGCGGCCAUCCUGGGACUGAGCCAAGGCACGGACUGCUACGGGAGGGAGCAGUGGGGAAUAUUGCGCAAUGGGCGAAAGCCUGACGCAGCAACGCCGCGUGAGGGAUGACGGCCUUCGGGUUGUAAACCUCUUUCAGCAGGGAAGAAGCGAAAGUGACGGUACCUGCAGAAGAAGCACCGGCUAACUACGUGCCAGCCGCCGCGGUAA